ACAGACCACUGAGGGGCGGAUCUCCGUAGCUACGUCACAACGCGCUCCAACAGCUCCAAGCUCCAACCUAACCUCCAAAUAUUAUCAAAUCCAAGCUAGCUGUGUACGUGUCUCUCUUCUAUCCGCUAACUUUAUCGUUAUUCAUAAACAAUCAAGAUGAUCACUGAUGUACAAUUGGCUGUAUUCUCCAACGUCCUUGGAGUCACGCUGUUCUUCUUGGUGUUUCUGUUCCACUACAUAAAUGCCAACUAUUCGAAAUGAGAGCGAUGAAUACAGGAAAAAUGGUUUUUCGACCUACGGACAAGUUAAUUUUCCGGACGAGCUAAGAUCCAUGUCGAUCCGGCGAAGAAUCCAAAAUUCCAUGGACAUGUAAACUUGUGCAAGAGAAUAAAAUUUCUAACGAUUUCCAAAAGUA